rnacentral:rRNA from 1 species
UACGUAGGGCGCAAGCGUUAUCCGGAAUUAUUGGGCGUAAAGAGCGUGUAGGCGGCCAUACAGGUCAGCUGUGAAAACUCGAGGCUCAACCUCGAGACGUCGGUUGAAACCGUAUGGCUAGAGUCCGGAAGAGGAGAGUGGAAUUCCCGGUGUAGCGGUGAAAUGCGCAGAUAUCGGGAAGAACACCCGUGGCGAAGGCGGCUCUCGUGGGACGGUACUGACGCUGAGACGCGAAAGCGUGGGGAGCGAACAGG